CCAAACAGGGCCACCCCAAGCAGAUCAUACCAACCCUUAGCAAGGAACAGUCACUAAAGAGCCAAGUAACCACAUGCACAGGCAGGACAAUUAAAAUGCCAUCCAUG